GACGAACGCUGGCGGCGUGCUUAACACAUGCAAGUCGAACGAGUGGCGAACGGGUGAGUAAUACGUGGGUAACCUGCCCUCUGUUUGGGAUAAGCCUUGGAAACGGGGUCUAAUACCGAAUAAAGGGGGAUGGGCUCGCGGCCUGUCAGCUUGUUGGUGGGGUGAUGGCCUACCACGGCGGUGACGGGUAGCCGGCCUGAGAGGGUGACCGGCCACAGUGGGUCGUGGAUACGGCCCCGUGUCCUACGUGAGGCAGCAGUGGGGGAGAUGGCACAAUGGGCGCACGUCUGAUGCAGCGACGCCGCGUUGGGCUUGCAGGCUUUCGGGUUGUAAACCUCGUUCGCUCUCGAGGGGUAGGUGGAGAAGAAGCGCCGGCUAACUACGUUCCAGCAGCCGCGGUAAUUC
rnacentral:rRNA from 1 species